rnacentral:rRNA from 1 species
AUGCUAGGCGUCGGCGCACCGGCCGAAAGUUUCGGUCGGUCCAGCCCCAGCCCUUGGAUGCGAGCCCGCGUGGCCACUGGAUGUAGCAAAAAAAACACGAUUCGUCCUGGGCUUCUUCUACCUCGGGUUAGAUCUGUAGCUCCUGCUCGGUGCCCUCGUCGCCGCGCCUCCAGUCCCCUCUGGUGGCCGUCCUCGUCGCCGGUCUCCGUCCUCGUCGCCGGCUCGCGGCCCUCGCCCCCGGUCGCCGUCCUUGUUGCCGCCAGGUCGCCGUCCUUGCCCCCGAUUGCCGAUCUUCGUCCUUGUUGCCGCCCGGUCGCCGUCCUCGCCUCCGGUCGCCGUCCUCGUCGCCCCCGGUCGCCGUCCUUGCCGCUCCUGGUCGCCGGUCGCCGUCCUCGCCGUCACCGUUUUCCAGCAAAUCUAAUGGCCGGUUCCAGCAAAAAUUCUGCGGAUGUCACCGUUUGA